rnacentral:rRNA from 1 species
GAUGAACGCUGGCGGCGUGCUUAACACAUGCAAGUCGAACGGGAUCCCAGGAGCUUGCUCCUGGGUGAGAGUGGCGAACGGGUGAGUAAUGCGUGACCGACCUGCCCCAUACACCGGAAUAGCUCCUGGAAACGGGUGGUAAUGCCGGAUGCUCCAGUUGGAUGCAUGUCCUUCUGGGAAAGAUUCUAUCGGUAUGGGAUGGGGUCGCGUCCUAUCAGCUUGAUGGCGGGGUAACGGCCCACCAUGGCUUCGACGGGUAGCCGGCCUGAGAGGGCGACCGGCCACAUUGGGACUGAGAUACGGCCCAGACUCCUACGGGAGGCAGCAGUGGGGAAUAUUGCACAAUGGGCGCAAGCCUGAUGCAGCGACGCCGCGUGCGGGAUGACGGCCUUCGGGUUGUAAACCGCUUUUGACUGGGAGCAAGCCCUUCGGGGUGAGUGUACCUUUCGAAUAAGCACCGGCUA